rfam:Salmo salar isolate Sally breed double haploid chromosome ssa18, whole genome shotgun sequence.
UCCCGUGUGGCUCAGUUGGUAGAGCAUGGUGUUUGCAACGCCAGGGUUGUGGCUUUGAUUCCCACGGGGG